CCCCGGCUGCGGCUCCCCCGCAUUGCCGCCCGCACAAAGCCCCGCUCCGCCCCCGGCCCGCGGCGCCAUGGGACUCGUAGUCCCGCUGCUGGACGGGGGGAGGGAGUGCCUGGAAAAGGGAUAAGAGUUGUGCCAGAGGCACGGCGAGGGAAGUGCCGCAGAAGUGAUGCUCUGGGAAUCCUGCAAAGAAAUCGGUACAAGUGGCAGGCAGCUUUUCCCUGGGAGAACCUCUGAAGGGAAAAGAUUGGUUUGUGAAUCUCCAUUUUCCCUGAUGCUCAGCACUUCCAGAUGGAUCCUGAGCUGCUGCUGAAGUUCCAGGUGAUCUGAUAAAAGCUGCAGGCUGAACAUCCCUCCAGGAGUUUAAAACAGAUGCAAAGCUGGGAUGGAGGAUGCCUGAGGAGCACUGGGAUGUGAAGGUGAGCACCUGGAGCUGUGUUGGAGCCCAGAAAUCUGGGAUUUUUGAGGUGAGAUGAAGCACACCUCCCUGGAUCCCCACAUUGCUGCCAUCCCAUGCUGAGCAAACCCAACCCCAGCCUCAUUUCCUGGUGGGAUUCAGCCUGGCCAGGAGCUCCUUCAGGAUUUCUUGGCAGGAAAGCAGGCAGACAAAACACAGCCUUGGAAUUCCCAGCAAGGCCAGGAACUGCAAAUGCUGAGGAAAAUGAGAUAAUGGAGCAGAAAACAGGGCUGGGGAAGGAGUCAAUAUUUAAUAAAGCUGCAAUGUGAGAGCAGGGCAGCACCGAGGUGGGGACACAGGCUGGAGGAGAUGUUGGCUGUACCAACCAGCAGAUCCCAGUCCCUGUUUUCCCUGGGGGAUGGAGGGGCUGGAGCCCAGCCCUCAGCUGGCCCAAAGGCCCUCAGUGGCUCCAGAGGCCAGGGGGACAAUCCAGCCCUUGUCCCCACUGGGUGCUUCCACGUGGGCUUGGCACUCCAACACCCCCAAGUUCCCUUUGUUCUCCCCCCAAAGCUCUCAGCAAACACUCCUCAGGAUGCUUAGGC